rnacentral:rRNA from 1 species
AAAAUCCGUCCCGCAUGGGUCCGAGGUGCGAUGAUGGGGGCCUUAUGGCCCGAUAUCCGGUGAUCCCGGCUGCCGAGAAAAGCUUCGGCGUCAGGCUCAAAGCCGCCCGUACCCCAAACCGACACUGGUGGUCAGGUAGAGAAUACCAAAGCGAUCGAGCGAAUCCUGGUCAAGGAACUCGGCAAAUCACUCCCGUUCCUUCGGUUUAAGGGAGACCCCCGAUGGUGAACACACUUGCUGUGGGAGUUUUUGGGGGUGGCACAGACCAGGGGGUAGCGACUGUUUACCAAAAACACAGGUGCAUGCGAAGGCGCAAGCCGCUGUAUAUGCACUGACGCCUGCCCGGUGCCGGAAGGUUAAGAGGAUCCGUCAGCCUUCGGGUGAAGCGGUGAAUUCAAGCCCCGGUAAACGGCGGAGGUAACAAUAACCAUCCUAAGGUAGCGAAAUUCCUUGUCGGGUAAGUUCCGACCUGCACGAAUGGCGUAACGACUUCCCCACUGUCUCGACCAGGAGCUCGGCGAAAUUGCAGUACGAGUAAAGAUGCUCGUUAAGCGCAGAAGGACGAAAAGACCCCGGGACCUUUACUAUACCUUGGUAUUGGCAUUCGGUGUGGAUUGUGUAGCAUAGGCGGGAGGCCGAGAGGCGCGGUCGCCAGAUCGCGCGGAGCCGUAAGGUGAAAUACCGCUCUGUUCGCAUUGGAUGUCUAACCUCGAACAGUCAUCCUGUUCAGGGACAGUGCCUGGCGGGUAGUUUAACUGGGGCGGUUGCCUCCCAAAGAGUAACGGAGGCGCCCAAAGGUCCGCUCAGCCCGGUUGGCAAUCGGGUGGCGAGUGCAAGUGCACAAGCGGGCUUGACUGCGAGGACGACGGUCCGAGCAGGGACGAAAGUCGGGACUAGUGAUCCGGUGCCGGUGUACGGACGCGGCAUCGCUCAACGGAUAAAAGGUACCCCGGGGAUAACAGGCUGAUCAUUCCCAAGAGUCCAUAUCGACGGGAUGGUUUGGCACCUCGAUGUCGGCUCGUCGCAUCCUGGGGCUGGAGCAGGUCCCAAGGGUUCGGCUGUUCGCCGAUUAAAGCGGCACGCGAGCUGGGUUCAGAACGUCGUGAGACAGUUUGGUCUCUAUCCUCUGCGCUCGUUGGAAUGCUGAGGAGGCCUGCCCAUAGUACGAGAGGACCUGGGUGGACGAACCUCUGGUAUGCCGGUUGUCACGCCAGUGGCACGGCCGGUUGGCUACGUUCGGAAGGGAUAACCGCUGAAAGCAUCUAAGCGGGAAGCCUGCUCCAAGAUAAGCAUUCCGUGGAACCUUCGAGUCCCUGUAGUCCCCAUGCAGAACACGUGGUCGAUAGGCCGGACGUGGAAGCCCCGCGAGGGGUGGAGCCGACCGGUACUAACGGACGAAAGGC